rnacentral:rRNA from 1 species
AUGGCUUCUGGUGCUCAGAAGAAGAUGGUUGCCGUCGGCAUGGUGCUGGCCAUCCUGUUCAUCUCUGCAGCUAAUGCAGAACCAGCGCCUGCAGAAACUUGCAUCGACAAGACCGAAAAAGUUGGUCUUGUCACUGACUGCAUCUGCUCCAAGAACUGUGCUUGUGCAGGAAAGUGCAUCUUAGAAGGCGGCGAUGGUGGCGAAAUCCAGAAGUGCUUUGUCGAAUGCGUGCUGAAAAACGACUGCAACUGCAAUGCUAAGCACCACAGCGCCGCAGCCCCUCAGUAA